rnacentral:rRNA from 1 species
CUAUCUAAUGAUCGACGCUGAGAAACGAAGGGGAGGAUCGACAAUAGGAUUAGAUACCCUGGCAUCCCUCUCUGUAAACGAUGAAUGGUAGUUGCUAAUAAUAAUAAUUAGUGACGAGGCUAACGCGUUAACCAUUCCGCCUUGUGAGUACGACUGCAAAGUUGAAAACAAAAAAAUUAGUCGGUUUCGGAGCAA